rnacentral:rRNA from 1 species
GAUCCUGGCUCAGGAUGAACGCUAGCUACAGGCUUAACACAUGCAAGUCGAGGGGCAUCAGGGUGUAGCAAUACGCCGCCGGCGACCGGCGCACGGGUGAGUAACACGUAUCCAACCUGCCCUUUACUCGGGGAUAGCCUUUCGAAAGAAAGAUUAAUACCCGAUGGUAUAACAUGACCUCCUGGUUUUGUUAUUAAAGAAUUUCGGUAGAGGAUGGGGAUGCGUUCCAUUAGGCAGUUGGCGGGGUAACGGCCCACC